GUGCCAGCCGCCGCGGUAAGACGGAGGUCCCGAGCGUUGUUCGGAAUUAUUGGGCUUAAAGCGCGUGUAGGCGGAACGGUAAGUACCUUGUGAAAUCCCCGGACUCAAUCCGGGAACUGCUUGGUAUACUGCCGAUCUUGAGGCAGGUAGGGGUCACUGGAACCUUAGGUGGAGCGGUGAAAUGCGUAGAUAUCUAAGGGAACGCCUGUGGCGAAAGCGGGUGACUGGGCCUGUCCUGACGCUGAGACGCGAAAGCGUAGGGAGCAAACGGGAUUAGAUACCCUGGUAGUCC
rnacentral:rRNA from 1 species